AGAGUUUGAUUAUGGCUCAGGAUGAACGCUGGCGGCAGGCUUAAUACAUGCAAGUCGAACGGUAAGGCCCGAAGUGGCAACACGGAGGGCACACGAGUGGCGCACGGGUGCGUAACGCGUAUGCAACCUGCCCCCGACCGGGACAAAACGUCGAGAAAUUGGCGCUAAUAUCCCAUGUGGACACCGGAUGGCAUCUUCCGGUGUCUAAAGAUUCAUUGGUCGGGGAUGGGCAUGCGUAUCAUUAGCUUGUUGGCGGGGUAACGGCCCACCAAGGCGACGAUGAUUAGGGGUUCUGAGAGGAUGGUCCCCCACACUGGAACUGAGACACGGUCCAGACUCCUACGGGAGGCAGCAGUAGGGAAUAUUGGGCAAUGGAAGCAAUUCUGACCCAGCCAAUGCCGCGUGCAGGAAGACGGCCCUAUGGGUUGUAAACUGCUUUUUCCGCGGAGUAACCGCCGGGACGUGUCCCGGCCUGAGAGUACGCGGGGAAUAAGUAUCGGCUAACUCCGUGCCAGCCGCCGC
rnacentral:rRNA from 1 species